rnacentral:rRNA from 1 species
UACGUAGGCAGCAAGCGUUGUUCGGAGUUACUGGGCGUAAAGAGUCUGUAGGCGGUGUUCUAAGUUUGGUGUGAAAUCUCCCGGCUUAACCGGGAGGGUGCGCCGAAGACUGGGAUGCUGGAGUAUGGGAGAGGAAAGCGGAAUUCCUGGUGUAGCGGUGAAAUGCGUAGAUAUCAGGAGGAACACCGGUGGUGUAGACGGCUUUCUGGACCAUGACUGACGCUGAGAGACGAAAGCGUGGGGAGCAAACAGG